UACGUAGGGUGCGAGCGUUAAUCGGAAUUACUGGGCGUAAAGCGUGCGCAGGCGGCUUGCCAAGUCAGAUGUGAAAGCCCCGGGCUCAACCCGGGAACUGCGUUUGAAACUGGCAGGCUAGAGUGUGGCAGAGGGGGGUGGAAUUCCACGUGUAGCAGUGAAAUGCGUAGAGAUGUGGAGGAACACCGAUGGCGAAGGCAGCCCCCUGGGUUAACACUGACGCUCAGGCACGAAAGCGUGGGGAGCAAACAGG
rnacentral:rRNA from 1 species